rnacentral:rRNA from 1 species
GCCAGACUCCUACGGGAGGCAGCAGUGGGGAAUAUUGCACAAUGGGGGGAACCCUGAUGCAGCGACGCCGCGUGAGUGAAGAAGUAUUUCGGUAUGUAAAGCUCUAUCAGCAGGGAAGAAAAACCGACCAUAGGGUCGCUAGACGGUACCUGAUUAAGAAGCCCCGGCUAACUACGUGCCAGCAGCCGCGGUAAUACGUAGGGGGCAAGCGUUAUCCGGAUUUACUGGGUGUAAAGGGCGUGUAGGCGGGAAAGCAAGUCAGAUGUGAAAACCAUGGGCUCAACCUGUGGCCUGCAUUUGAAACUGUUUUUCUUGAGUACUGGAGAGGCAGACGGAAUUCCUAGUGUAGCGGUGAAAUGCGUAGAUAUUAGGAGGAACACCAGUGGCGAAGGCGGUCUGCUGGACAGCAACUGACGCUGAGGCGCGAAAGCGUGGGGAGCAAACAGGAUUAGAUACCCCCGUAGG